CCUACGGGAGGCUGCAGUCGAGAAUCUUUCACAAUGGGGGAAACCCUGAUGGUGCGACGCCGCGUGGGGGAAUGAAGGUCUUCGGAUUGUAAACCCCUGUCAUGUGGGAGCAAAUUAAAAAGAUAGUACCACAAGAGGAAGCGAUGGCUAACUCUGUGCCAGCAGCCGCGGUAAUACAGAGGUCUCAAGCGUUGUUCGGAAUCACUGGGCGUAAAGCGUGCGUAGGCUGUUUCGUAAGUCGUGUGUGAAAGGUGCGGGCUCAACCCGCGGACGGCACAUGAUACUGCGAGACUAGAGUAAUGGAGGGGGAACCGGAAUUCUCGGUGUAGCAGUGAAAUGCGUAGAUAUCGAGAGGAACACUCGUGGCGAAGGCAGGUUCCUGGACAUUAACUGACGCUGAGGCACGAAGGCCAGGGGAGCGAAAGGGAUUAGAUACCCGGGUAGUC
rnacentral:rRNA from 1 species